rnacentral:tRNA from 1 species
GCUGUGAUGGCCGAGUGGUUAAGGCGUUGGAUUCGAAAUCCAAUGGGGGUUUCCCCGCGCAGGUUCAAAUCCUGCUCACAGCG